UCUCUCCUGGAGUGAACCACAUAAAUUAGAAUUCCUCUUCUGCAAGGCAGAUAAUAGAAACUAGCAGCCCUCUCCUGAAAGCAAGCCAUAAAACUUAGGAAGGUCACUCUCUCCCUUCUCAUUUGAAGACCGUUAUUCCAGAGGAAUCCUGCCCCAUACCUGCAAAGAAGAAAUGCUACACAGAGAGUCCAAGAAGAAUUUGAACACAUCCCUCCCCCUCACCCCCAGUCUAUUACCAUUAGAUCAUACUCUUAUCCAAACACAUCUCUACACAGCUGCUCAUUCUUCAUGGAGCCCAAGCACAAAAACAGUUUUCCCUGGAUCUUUGGGUUUUCAUUUCUGAAGGCUCUCAUAUCACAUAAAACUUUUAUUAAAUAAAUUUGUUAUGCUUUUCUCUUUAACUUGUGUUUUAUUAUAGGAGUGUCAGCCGUAACUCUUACAAUAAGUGAGGAAAGGUAUUACAGUUUUUUUUUUUUUUUUUUACCCUUAUACACUCUUGGAGCUGAUCAUCACAGUUUGUAAUUUUUCCACUUUCCAUUCCUGCUCCUGUGUAUUUUGAUAAAUUUUUACAGAUCAGUAGACUUCCCAUGGCAGAGUAUUUCCUGCUUCUCAACAGCCCUUAAACCAAUCCAAGGAAAACAAGAGUAUCAUAGUGCUUUGUCAUAUGACAAGAUUACAAAAGCAGUAUUCAGUGGCAGAAUGCCCGACUGCUCCUGGACACUGCCAAUAGCUGGCUUCAGUGCUCCCCAUCCCUGCUUGUCAGUGAUUAGUCUAAAUUGUUAUUACAAGCCCAGUCUGACCAAUGUGUGUGAACGAGGGGCCGGCUCCUGAUUCUGCAGAAAACAUGAAAUUGAAUUGGACAAAGAUGCUGAUGAGGUGCUGCAGCAUGCAAUUCACGUCACCAGCACUCACUAAGGAUCCUGUUCCAGCAAGGGAUUGGUGGCAUGACAUGUAAGGACAAGAUUCCACACAUCCAUCUUUAGCACACACAGGUCAAUGGUCCUCUGCCAAGGUCAGCAUACCGCUCCAUUUUAACCUUCCACUCAGAAUAUGUGUGGUGUUCCUUCCCAGGCACCAGAUUAAUUUACUCAGGCAAGGCGAGCUAGAUCUUCCUCUGAAACGUACACUUGUCCAUAUCGAUCCAAAGAAAUGAGUUUACCUUUGCAGUUGGUGUGAUUUGUGUUUUCCGCUAGAGGACUCUUAAAAAGCAACAGAGACUUCAGGGCUUCCUGUCUCUUCCUAUUCUUUACUUAAUAGGGAAGACUCUCUAACACGUUUGGACUGUGUCCAAGAUGGGGCAUAAAAUGGAAUCAGUGAAACUUAUUUCUCAUAAUAGAGGUCAGAAUAGAGAAAAUGUGACAAAAGCACAAAAUUUAACAAAGAAAGGGGCAGCAGCCCACCCACCAUCAAGGUGGAGGCAGAGUGUCUGUGUUCACGUAGGUCAAUGGUAGCAGGUGGGAGAUGGCAACUGUUAUCCGAAGACUUGGACUCUUAAAGUGGAGUCUGAAAGAUUUAAAGUACAGCAAAAUUCCAGAUGAACCAGAUCACUGCUUUAUGUUUUAUAUUUAUUUAUUAAUGUAUAAAUGAAAAUGUAUGACUUUUUCAGGAAUAUAAAUCGUGCACACUGAUGACCUCAAAUGCAUGCAACAGGAUUUUUAAUACAGAAAAUAACACAAAAACCAUUGUUACAGUUGUUAGAAUUUUUAACUUUAAAAAACCUUGAAUUUUUAUUGUUUUAAUUGCUCCAUAAAAUAAUGUUAAUAUAUAUACUUAAGCUUAAAUUAAUUCCAACAGGCAAACAUUUCCAACCCAGAGUGUGGCUGAUGGUUUCAUGCUGGGUCAGCUGACACCAUUUUGGUUCACACCAACUUUGAUGUCUAGGCCAUUCAGUGUUCACCUAGAAAAUCCCAAUUGUUUCAAGCAUACCGUGAAUUUUGUGAUUUCUCUGAAGAUUUUCAGAGUUAAAAGAAGUGUUUAUAUCACUUAAUAUACAACAUUUCUAAUGGGGGGGAACCCCACCAUCUAUUAUCAAUGGCAUUUCACAAGACCUUGCACUAGGCCCUUAGUCACCAGGUUCCCCCAUUUUGUUGCUUUCCUAUUAUCUCAAACCAGGUUCAUCAAAGCAUUUGAACAAAGUCAAUCUUCAUUUUACCAAAAAAAAAAAUGUUCCUAAUAGUGGCUAAAAUAGUAAAAAUUUCUCCCUUUAGUUA